AACGAACGCUGGCGGCAUGCCUAACACAUGCAAGUCGAACGAGACCUUCGGGUCUAGUGGCGCACGGGUGCGUAACGCGUGGGAACCUGCCCUUAGGUUCGGAAUAACUCCCCGAAAGGGGUGCUAAUACCGGAUAAUGUCUUCGGACCAAAGAUUUAUCGCCUUUGGAUGGGCCCGCGUUGGCUUAGCUAGUUGGUAGGGUAAAAGCCUACCAAGGCGACGAUCCAUAGCUGGUCUGAGAGGAUGAUCAGCCACACUGGGACUGAGACACGGCCCAGACUCCUACGGGAGGCAGCAGUGGGGAAUAUUGGACAAUGGGCGAAAGCCUGAUCCAGCCAUGCCGCGUGAGUGAUGAAGGCCUUAGGGUUGUAAAGCUCUUUUACCCGGGAUGAUAAUGACAGUACCGGGAGAAUAAGCUCCGGCUAACUCCGUG
rnacentral:rRNA from 1 species